rnacentral:hammerhead_ribozyme from 1 species
CCCUGUAGAGGAGUCCCACAAUAGGACGAAACGGCCGUCCGGUAG